rnacentral:rRNA from 1 species
AGAGUUUGAUCCUGGCUCAGGAUGAACGCUGGCGGCGUGCUUAACACAUGCAGGUCGAACGAUCCUUCGGGAUAGUGGCGGACGGGUGAGUAACGCGUGGGAAUCUGCCCUCAGGAGGGGGAUAACGGCUGGAAACGGCCGCUAAUACCCCAUAUGCCGAGAGGUGAAAUGAAUUUCGCCUGAGGAUGAGCCCGCGUCUGAUUAGCUAGUUGGUGGGGUAAAGGCCUACCAAGGCGACGAUCAGUAGCUGGUCUGAGAGGAUGAUCAGCCACACUGGGACUGAGACACGGCCCAGACUCCUACGGGAGGCAGCAGUGGGGAAUUUUCCGCAAUGGGCGAAAGCCUGACGGAGCAACGCCGCGUGAGGGAUGAAGGCCUCUGGGCUGUAAACCUCUUUUCUCAAGGAAGAAGAACUGACGGUACUUGAGGAAUAAGCCACGGCUAAUUCCGUGCCAGCAGCCGCGGUAAUACGGGAGUGGCAAGCGUUAUCCGGAAUUAUUGGGCGUAAAGCGUCCGCAGGCGGCCUUGUAAGUCUGUUGUUAAAGCGUGGAGCUCAACUCCAUUUAAGCAAUGGAAACUACAAGGCUGGAGUGUGGUAGGGGCAGAGGGAAUUCCCGGUGUAGCGGUGAAAUGCGUAGAUAUCGGGAAGAACACCAGUGGCGAAGGCGCUCUGCUGGGCCAUAACUGACGCUCAUGGACGAAAGCCAGGGGAGCGAAAGGGAUUAGAUACCCCUGUAGUCCUGGCCGUAAACGAUGAACACUAGGUGUCGGGGGAAUCGACCCCCUCGGUGUCGUAGCCAACGCGUUAAGUGUUCCGCCUGGGGAGUACGCACGCAAGUGUGAAACUCAAAGGAAUUGACGGGGGCCCGCACAAGCGGUGGAGUAUGUGGUUUAAUUCGAUGCAACGCGAAGAACCUUACCAGGGUUUGACAUCCUGCGAAUCCCUUGGAAACGAGGGAGUGCCCUCGGGAGCGCAGUGACAGGUGGUGCAUGGCUGUCGUCAGCUCGUGUCGUGAGAUGUUGGGUUAAGUCCCGCAACGAGCGCAACCCACGUUUUUAGUUGCCAGCAUUCAGUUGGGCACUCUAGAGAGACCGCCGGUGAUAAACCGGAGGAAGGUGUGGAUGACGUCAAGUCAUCAUGCCCCUUACAUCCUGGGCUACACACGUACUACAAUGCUACGGACAAAGGGCAGCAAGCUCGCGAGAGUUAGCAAAUCCCAUAAACCGUGGCUCAGUUCAGAUCGUAGGCUGCAACUCGCCUACGUGAAGGAGGAAUCGCUAGUAAUCGCAGGUCAGCAUACUGCGGUGAAUACGUUCCC